rnacentral:rRNA from 1 species
UACGAGAGGCCCAAACGUUGUUCGGAUUCAUUGGGCGUAAAGGGUGCGUAGGUGGCGUGGUAAGUCGGGUGUGAAAUUUCGGAGCUUAACUCCGAAACUGCAUUCGAUACUGCUGUGCUUGAGGACUGGAGAGGAGACUGGAAUUUACGGUGUAGCAGUGAAAUGCGUAGAGAUCGUAAGGAAGACCAGUGGCGAAGGCGGGUCUCUGGACAGUUCCUGACACUGAGGCACGAAGGCCAGGGGAGCAAACGGG